rnacentral:snoRNA from 1 species
ACGACUUUACUUGAACAGGAUCUGUUCUAUAGGAUCGUACUACUAUUCCCUUAAGUAUUAAGGAGACUAGUAAACAAGUCUGGUGGAUGAAAUAUUACUUCUUGAUCAGAGCAUGAUUAAUGAUUUAGAUGGAUUUCCCAUCAUAAAUUAUAGAGGACCGUUCCCAUAUAUGUUCAAAUGAAUUAAUGAUCUUGGAGUUUUCUGACAGAUU